rnacentral:misc_RNA from 1 species
AAAGUCGUAACAAGGUUUCCGUAGGUGAACCUGCGGAAGGAUCAUUGACAAAUCCAAUCAUUCGCACUCGGUGCCGAUGCUCGUCAUCGCCCAGUGUUAUUCACUCUUUUUCAAUUGACUGAUUACACAUAUAUACAAUAUAUUAUCAACUUUUAACAAUGGAUCUCUUGGCUCUU